rnacentral:rRNA from 1 species
GUCUACGGCCAUACCACCCUGAACAAGCCCGAUGUCUGAUCUCGGAAGCUAAGCAAGGUUGGGCCUGGUUAGUAUUUGGAUGGGAGACCACCUAGGAAGACCAGGUGCUGUAGGCA